AUAUUAUCUUUUUGUGGUGGACUUGGAGGUUUGGUGUAGAUGCCGCAGGCUAAGCGAAAUGAAGGGGGUGAAUCGAACAGAUGAAUACGGCCUCCGUGUUGCUUGAAUAGUAGAAAUACUGAUGGUGUCAUGGGUUUGUUGUUUACAACAAAUCUAGUAUGACGAAAGAAAAACUAUAAGCAGUGAAGCGACACAUCCCAGUAACUGUAUAGAAAAAUCAAAAGAGAUUUUCGUAGUAGCGGUGAGCGGGGCGGAAAUAAAAAACCCACACUUGAUGGGUUGGUAGCGCGUAGAAGUUCGGUCGCCGGUGACGGUUUUAGAUCCGAGUGUAUAAUACAUAGAGGGUGCAAGUCCCGUAUACGUCUACUUUAUGGGCAGAAGUACGACUGUUUUGCUUAAAUAGUCGGAAGAUUGGGGGACCACCCUCAAGCCUGAAUAGCUAAACCUACCGAUAGUGAACAAGUACCGUAAGGGAAUGUUGAAACAGGAUUAAUUGAGGGUUAACGUGAAAUAACUACAAACAAAAAGAUAAAUAAGCAGUUAUCGUGGAAUACAGCUAGACUGUUGAAGCGACAUCGUACCUUGUGUAUAAUGGACCAACAAGUUAAAAUUACUAGCAAGCGUAACUUAAUAGAGGAACGCGUAGCGCAAGCAAAUCGUAAGACGUUUGUUAAGUUAGUAGUUUUAAACCCGAAGCCGGGUGAUCUAACCAAAAGCAGGCCAUUGAGGGCCGUACCAAUAUAUGUUGCAAAAUAUCUGGAUGACUUUUGGUUAGGGGUGAAAGGCUAAUCAAACUUGGGUAUCUCUGGUUCUCCGCGAAAUCUAUGUACGUAAAGUAUCAGGCUGACAAAAAUCAGGGGUAGAGUUCUUUUUACUUGAGGGGGGUUUAAGUACUUUACUGAGUUUAGAAAAACUUUGAAUACUGGUUUGUUUUGAAGCUGAUAGUCAGACAUUCAGCGAUAAGGUUGUGUGUCAAGAGGGAAACAGCCCAGAUUGUAUGUUAAGGCCCUUAAAUAGUAGGUAAGUGAUUAAAGGCAUGAAGUUUCAUAGACGUCUAAAAUGUAGGCUUAGAAGCAGCCAUCAUAUAUUGAAAGCGUAAAAAAUCAUUGGAUAAAGAUUGUGGAGUGCCCAUAAUGUGCGGGGCUUAACCUACUUGCCGAAACACCAAAUUUCUUAAUUGAAAUGGUAGCGGAGUUUUCUGUAAAGCGAAUUAAUCGAAUAAAAGAAAUAAACCGAAAGGUAGACUCAGAAAUAAGAAUGUUGGUAUGAGUAACGUUAAACUUUUUGUCGCCUAGAACCUAAGGUUUCCGACGUUCAGGUAUUCUGCGGACGGGUUAUGCGGUAGUUUAGGUCUACUCUAUGAAAAUAGGGGCUGAUAUUGUCCUUAACAAUAAGGAAUGCAUUUUGCUGGGUCGUAUGACUAUAACUAUAAAGCUUAACGAGAGUGGCUUAUUGGGUAAGAUCAUACCUAGAAAUCCUCAAAAUGUGAAUAUGUACCGUACUGAAAACCGACACUGGUAGGUAAGUGGAGAACACUGUGGCGCUAUGGAAGAAGUAUAUUGAAGGAACUAGGCAAAAUGACCUCGUAACUUCGGGAUAAGGGGGUAACUGCUUGCCUCUGUAAAGAGGGUAGUAGUUGAACGUGAAAAUGGAGGGGGGCGACUGUUUACUAAAAACACAGGACUCUGCUAACUUGUAAGAGGAUGUAUUGGGUCCGAGGCCUGCCCGGUGCCAGCAAGCUAACAGGAGGUGUUAACGCACUGAAUUUAACCCCUGGCAAACGGCGGCUGUAACUAUAACGGUCCUAAGGUAGCGAAAUUCCUUGUCGGGUAAGUUCCGACGUGCAUGAAUGGCAUAACGACUUUCCUGCUGUCUCCAGUAUAUGUUCAGUGAAAUUGAAUUUUUUGUGAAGAUGCGAAAUAGUGACGGCCAGACGGAAAGACCCCAUGCACCUUUACUGUGAUAAUACAUCAUCCCAUACGGCUUUUUGUGUAGAAUAGGUAGUAAGUUUUGUCUUUUUGGCGCUAGCUGGGAAGUUUACUGAAAUGUGUAAUACUACCCUGAAUGCUGUAUGGGAUUUAUCCAACCCCUUAAGAGGGGGGAAACCGUGUAUUGGAGACAGUUUGACUGGGGCGGUCGCCUCCAAAAGCGUAUCGGGGGUGUGCAAAAGGUAAACUCAAAACGGAUAUCUCUGUUUGUAGAGCAUAAUAGUAAAUGUUUGCUUGACUGCGUAACGGAUACGUUUAGCAGGGAGACUCAAUGUCUCGGCUAUAGUGACCCGAUAGCUCUGUGUGGAAAGGCUAUCGCUUAACAAAUAAAAGGUACGCUGGGGAUAACAGGCUGAUGCCUCUUGAGAGUUCUUAUCGACGGAGUCGUUUGGCACCUCGAUGUCGGCUCAUCACAUCCUGGAGCUGAAGAAGGUUCCAAGGGUUCGGCUGUUCGCCGAUUAAAGUGGUACGUGAGCUGGGUUUAAAACGUUGUAAAACAGUUUGGUCCCUAUCUACCGUCACAUUAAAAAACCUAACGGGGGCGUUUAUUCUAGUACGAAAGGACCGGAGAGAGUUAACCUAUUGUUAUACGGCUGUCGAAUACGGCAAAGUCGCGACGCUAUGUUAAGCAGGCUAUAAUCAUUGAAUGUAUCUAAAUGAGAAAAGCCAACCCUGCGGUUUAUAAUAAAAUAGCUAGUGUGGUUAUAGAGGAUAACCUUAAUAGACCCGGAUCUAAUUCUAUAAUAGGUGUAGUAUGUGCGAAAGCUGGAAAGCCGGAGAUGGUUUU
rnacentral:rRNA from 1 species